AUUUUAUUAUAAGCCAUGAUCAAAAUAAAGCAAAUAAAGAGCAAUUGAAAGAGGUAAAGAAAAAAAGGCAACCAAAUUUAUGUGGAAAAUCCCAAUUUGAAAAAAGAAAUACAGGAUUAAAUCAAGCACUAUACUCAAAAUAGUAGUGGUUACAAGAGAUCUUAUAACCCAGUUGUAAAAUCCACACCUCAUGGAACAAAACCUCCCUUGCCGAGUCUACAUACACCGCACAUCUAAUUGACUGCCACCACCUCGAGUCCACAAGCUCUCCACACACAUCCAAAAUCCACAGUAGGACUUGAACAUUACUUCCUUCCUUAAAUCUCAAGCUCGGCUCUCACCUUGGAAUCCUCUGAAGGUCUUCAACACGGAUAAAGGAUGAUGAAUAAACUCUUAGAGCUAUUCAAUAACAUUCAAGGAUCCUUAGAUCUAAGCUUAAUCUCCAAGAAUAACAAGAAGAUCACUCUCUAACCUUGCUUAAGAUGUUUCUAGAUCUUUUUGCCACCAAGGGAAAGCGAAUAUGGCUUUCUCUUUAGGUUAGAAAGGAAGGAACAAGCAUUUAUAUACUAUCCAAAUCGCAACCAUCUUGUUCAACCUUUACUCAAGCGACGGUUGAGUGACACUUUGAGCUUCUCUAGUUCAACAGCUUUGCUCAAUGCUUGCUCGAGCGACGGUGCAUUGAGCGACAAUUGAACGAUAGGCUCAGCUUCUCUAGUUCAACGAUUUUGCUCAACGUGCUGGACUAGACGUUGAGCCGCAAGUCAAAAAA
rnacentral:lncRNA from 1 species